rnacentral:other from 1 species
UUUACCCUGCCAUGUUCGUGCUCCUAGCAAAAAUCCUUGAACCGUAAUUAGAAAAACACGGAGCCUCUAUUUCGGUUGUCGGCCGACAGGCCUUGACUGGAAGUCGUAAGUGAUCGAUCGGGCUCCACCUGUUCCUUAAAAAGUUCAAAGGGACUGUUAUACACGGCAUUACGGUGGGGUACUC